rnacentral:rRNA from 1 species
UACGGAGGGAGCUAGCGUUGUUCGGAAUUACUGGGCGUAAAGCGUGCGCAGGCGGUUAUGUAAGACAGUUGUGAAAUCCCCGGGCUCAACCUGGGAAUUGCAUCUGUGACUGCAUAGCUAGAGUACGGUAGAGGGGGAUGGAAUUCCGCGUGUAGCAGUGAAAUGCGUAGAUAUGCGGAGGAACACCGAUGGCGAAGGCAAUCCCCUGGACCUGUACUGACGCUCAUGCACGAAAGCGUGGGGAGCAAACAGG